rnacentral:tRNA from 1 species
GGGCGUGUAGCUCAGCGGUAGAGCAACGGUUUUACACACCGUAGGUCGGGGGUUCGAGACCCUCCGCGCCCA